UACGAAGGGGGCUAGCGUUGUUCGGAAUCACUGGGCGUAAAGCGCACGCAGGCGGAUCGUUAAGUCAGGGGGGAAAUGCCGAGGCUCAACCUCGGAACUGCCUUUGAUACUGGCGAUCUUAGAGUCCGGGAGAGGUGAGUGGAACUCCGAGUGUAGAGGUGAAAUUCGUAGAUAUUCGGAAGAACACCAGUGGCGAAGGCGGCUCACUGGCCCGGUACUGACGCUCAGGUGCGAAAGCGUGGGGAGCAAACAGG
rnacentral:rRNA from 1 species